GUGAAAUUGUUGAAAGGGAAGCGCUUGCAACCAGGCCUGCCUGCAGUUGCUCAUCCGGGCUUUUGCCCGGUGCACUCUUCUGCUGUCAGGCCAGCAUCGGUUCGGGCGGUCGGAUAAAGGCUUCGGGAAUGUAGCUCCUCUCGAGGAGUGUUAUAGCCCGUUGCGAAAUGCGGCCAGCCUGAACUGAGGUCCGCGCUUCGGCUAGGAUGCUGGCGUAAUGGUUGUAAGCGGCCCGUCUUGAAACACGGACCAAGGAGUCUAACAUCUGUGCGAGUGUUUGGGUGUCAAACCCGUACGCGUAAUGAAAGUGAACGGAGGCGGGAACCCCUCGGGGUGCACCGUCGACCGAUCCUGAUGUCUUCGGAUGGAUUUGAGUAAGAGCAUAGCUGUUGGGACCCGAAAGAUGGUGAACUAUGCCUGAAUAGGGUGAAGCCAGAGGAAACUCUGGUGGAGGCUCGCAGCGGUUCUGACGUGCAAAUCGAUCGUCAAAUUUGGGCAUAGGGGCGAAAGACUAAUCGAACUAUCUAGUAGCUGGUUCCUGCCGAAGUUUCCCUCAGGAUAGCAGUAACGUUUUCAGUUUUAUGAGGUAAAGCGAAUGAUUAGAGGCCUGGGGGUUGAAACAACCUUCACCUAUUCUCAAACUUUAAAUAUGUAAGAAGUCCUUGUUACUUAGUUGAACGUGGACAUUUGAAUGUAUCGU
rnacentral:rRNA from 1 species